AGAAUCAACGCUGGCGGCGUGCCUAACACAUGCAAGUCGCACGAGAAAGGGUAGCAAUACCUGAGUACAGUGGCGCACGGGUGAGUAACACGUGAAUAAUCUACCUCCGAGUGGGGAAUAACUGAGAGAAAUCUUAGCUAAUACCGCAUAAUACCCACGGGUCAAAGCAGCAAUGCGCUUGGAGAGGAGUUCGCGGCAGAUUAGUUAGUUGGCGGGGUAAUGGCCCACCAAGACGAUGAUCUGUAUCCGGCCUGAGAGGGCGCACGGACACACUGGAACUGAAACACGGUCCAGACUCCUACGGGAGGCAGCAGUGGGGAAUUUUGCGCAAUGGGGGAAACCCUGACGCAGCAACGCCGCGUGGAGGAUGAAGCCCCUUGGGUGUAAACUCCUUUCGAUCGGGAAGAUAAUGACGGUACCGAUAUAAGAAGCCCCGGCUAACUUCGCGCCAGCAGCCGC
rnacentral:rRNA from 1 species